GCUUUUGUGGUCUAGUGGUUAGAGCGUCCGCCUAGGAUGCUGGAGGUCGUGGGUUAGAUCCCCGGCCGAGUCACA